rnacentral:rRNA from 1 species
UACGUAGGGGGCAAGCGUUGUCCGGAAUCAUUGGGCGUAAAGAGCGUGUAGGCGGUCCGUUAAGUCGGCUGUGAAAGUCCAAGGCUCAACCUUGGGAUGCCGGUCGAUACUGCCGGACUAGAGUUCGGAAGAGGCGAGUGGAAUUCCCGGUGUAGCGGUGAAAUGCGCAGAUAUCGGGAGGAACACCUAUGGCGAAGGCAGCUCGCUGGGACGUUACUGACGCUGAGACGCGAAAGCGUGGGGAGCAAACAGGG